rfam:Myotis davidii contig130454, whole genome shotgun sequence.
GGCAGUUCUUGGGUGAUACACCCUGGAAUUAGGCUCCCUCCUCUCUGGUUCCAGGUGCAUCACUGGAGAACCACA